rnacentral:rRNA from 1 species
UGGGGAAUAUUGGACAAUGGGCGCAAGCCUGAUCCAGCCAUGCCGCGUGUGUGAAGAAGGCCUUCGGGUUGUAAAGCACUUUUGUCCGGAAAGAAAUCCUGUCGGCUAAUACCCGGCGGGGAUGACGGUACCGGAAGAAUAAGCACCGGCUAACUUCGUGCCAGCAGCCGCGGUAAUACGAAGGGGUGCAAGCGUUACUCGGAAUUACUGGGCGUAAAGCGUGCGUAGGUGGUUUGUUAAGUCUGAUGUGAAAGCCCUGGGCUCAACCUGGGAACUGCAUUGGAAACUGGCUGACUGGAGUGCGGUAGAGGGGUGUGGAAUUCCCGGUGUAGCAGUGAAAUGCGUAGAUAUCGGGAGGAACACCAGUGGCGAAGGCGACACCCUGGACCAGCACUGACACUGAGGCACGAAAGCGUGGGGAGCAAACAGGAUUAGAUACCC